GUUAUAUACCAUCCAAGAAGGUGAGGGAGCUAUAAACUUCUACAACGGUGGUUAAGAGAAAGAAAAGAGCAAUUAGGGACGUACUCUCCAGUCAAAUAAAAAAAGUUAAAGUUUAGGGGCCACUGAAGAAGGUCAACAUAUACGUAGAACUUGGCGCCAAAGAGAAGAGGGAUAUGAGAUAGACCAAGAAUGCCAAGCGAGGUACACCAGAUUACCCCACGCCUCCCUUCCCCCCCC
rnacentral:lncRNA from 1 species